rnacentral:rRNA from 1 species
CUGCUGCCUUCCGUAGGAGUCUGGUCCGUGUCUCAGUACCAGUGUGGGGGGACCUUCCUCUCAGAACCCCUACGCAUCGUCGCCUCGGUGGGCCGUUACCCCGGCCGACUAGCUAAUGCGACGCAUGGCCAUCCUAUGCCGGAGUCGCCUCCUUUGACCCCCGAAGAAGAUGUCUCCUAAAGGUGUUAUGCGGUAUUAGACGGAAUUUCUUCCGCUUACUCCCCCGUGCAUAGGGCAGGUUCCAUACGUGUUACUCACCCGUGCGCCGG